rnacentral:tRNA from 1 species
GCCAUUGUAGCUCAGUUGGUAGAGCAGCGGUUUUGUAAACCGCCGGUCGUAGGUUCAAGUCCUAUCAAUGGC